UACGAAGGGGGCUAGCGUUGUUCGGAAUCACUGGGCGUAAAGGGCGCGUAGGCGGCCAGCACAAGUCAGUUGUGAAAUCUCCGAGCUUAACUCGGAACGGUCAACUGAUACUGUGCGACUAGAGUGCAGAAGGGGCAACUGGAAUUCUCGGUGUAGCGGUGAAAUGCGUAGAUAUCGAGAGGAACACCUGCGGCGAAGGCGGGUUGCUGGGCUGACACUGACGCUGAUGCGCGAAAGCCAGGGGAGCGAACGGG
rnacentral:rRNA from 1 species